ACGAACGCUGGCGGCGCGCUUAACACAUGCAAGUCGAACGUGAAGCCCGGGCUUGCCCGGGUGGAAAGUGGCGAACGGGUGCGUAACACGUGAGCAACCUGCCCCGAAGACCGGGAUAACACCGGGAAACCGGUGCUAAUACCGGAUGCCUUCACCACGUCGCAUGGCGAGGUGAGGAAAUGGAUUCCGCUUCGGGAUGGGCUCGCGGCCUAUCAGCUUGUUGGUGGGGUAACGGCCUACCAAGGCUACGACGGGUAGCUGGUCUGAGAGGAUGUCCAGCCACACUGGGACUGAGACACGGCCCAGACUCCUACGGGAGGCAGCAGUGGGGAAUCUUGCGCAAUGGGCGAAAGCCUGACGCAGCGACGCCGCGUGCGGGAUGAAGGCCUUCGGGUUGUAAACCGCUUUCAGCAGGGACGAUUGUGACGGUACCUGCAGAAGAAGCCCCGGCCAACUACGU
rnacentral:rRNA from 1 species